rnacentral:rRNA from 1 species
UACGUAGGGGGCAAGCGUUGUCCGGAAUUAUUGGGCGUAAAGAGCGCGUAGGCGGUCCGAUAAGUCGGCUGUGAAAGUCAAGGGCUCAACCCUUGAAAGCCGGCCGAUACUGUCGGACUAGAGUCCGGAAGAGGCGAGUGGAAUUCCCGGUGUAGCGGUGAAAUGCGCAGAUAUCGGGAGGAACACCGGUGGCGAAGGCGGAUCUCUGGGCCAUUACUGACGCUGAGGAGCGAAAGCGUGGGGAGCGAACAGG